AUUACUAUCCAAUCAGAUGUAGUUUAUUUAGAACAGCUGUUACACGAAUGAUUUAGCUAUCAGACACGAGCACCAGCAGCGCAUUGAUCGUCAAGGACAUUCUUUGUGUGAUUUGCACAAGUUCCAGUAUGACAGAUUGUCCACAUAUACAAGAUACCGGGUAUAAUCUCGAUAGCAAGUGAAGUGAUACCGUGCUUCACUAGCCACCAAGUCCCUGUCUUGGAUAUGGAGAAGGAGAGACUCGUCCC